AUAAAAAUUAGUUAAUUAAUAACGUUAGUUUGUCAGGCUAAAAUAAUCAUACGAUAUUUUUA
rnacentral:tRNA from 1 species